UUGUGAUUGUAGUGAGGGUAUUCCAAACCGAACCACUAGUACGAUUAGAGGGCAAGUCUGGUGCCAGCAGCCGCGGUAAUUCCAGCUCUAAUAGCGUAUAUUAAAGUUGUUGCAGUUAAAAAGCUCGUAGUUGGAUUUCAAGGCGUGUAUACUCUUUUUGAGUAUGCUACCUACUAGUCUCUGACUGUUACUGUGAGAAAAUUAGAGUGUUUCAAGCAGGCUUUUGCAAGAAUACAUUAGCAUGGAAUAACGAAUGUGUCUAGAAUCUUG
rnacentral:rRNA from 1 species